ACUAAAGGAAUCUACUAAGUUACUGCUAAUAAUUUAUUGUCAGUUGAGCCUGACUUC
rnacentral:tRNA from 1 species